GUCCAAGUCGCGUAAAGGUAUCGCGUCUGACUGUAAAUCAGAUCCACUUAGGGUUGAUGGUUCGAGUCCAUCCUUGGACA